CUCUAUACAUGAAAUUCUCAAAAAAACGAAUUAAUAAUAAUAUUUAUUUAUUUUUUGCAAAAUUAGUAUUCAUACAAUAUGCAACAUUCUCUGUAAGCCAAACUUGUGAUGGGAACGGUAAUUAAGUUCAGUAGACGUAAUAACGAAGAAUAAUAUAAUUAUUUAAACAAAUAUGCCUUAUGCUAUUAAAUAUAACAGUUAUAAUUGAUGUAAAUACAAGAGAAUAUAAGAAUCAAAUAGUGCCAAAAUCUAAAUUACG